ensembl:snoRNA small nucleolar RNA SNORA40
GGCACUUGUGUUUGCUUUUGUGUAAUUCGUGGACAAAGACUUACAGACAGAUGCAAAAAUAAAUCCUCCUUUGUAACCCAGAGCUCAUUCUUCAGUAUGAGUUUUGAUACAGAAGAAGGAACAUG